AAUAGAUACCCAGGUAGUCCACGCCGUAAACGAUGAGUGCUAAGUGUUAGAGGGUUUCCGCCCUUUAGUGCUGCAGCUAACGCAUUAAGCACUCCGCCUGGGGAGUACGGCCGCAAGGCUGAAACUCAAAGGAAUUGACGGGGGCCCGCACAAGCGGUGGAGCAUGUGGUUUAAUUCGAAGCAACGCGAAGAACCUUACCAGGUCUUGACAUCCUCUGCCAACCCUAGAGAUAGGGCGUUCCCCUUCGGGGGACAGAGUGACAGGUGGUGCAUGGUUGUCGUCAGCUCGUGUCGUGAGAUGUUGGGUUAAGUCCCGCAACGAGCGCAACCCUUGAUCUUAGUUGCCAGCAUUUAGUUGGGCACUCUAAGGUGACUGCCGGUGACAAACCGGAGGAAGGUGGGGAUGACGUCAAAUCAUCAUGCCCCUUAUGACCUGGGCUACACACGUGCUACAAUGGAUGGUACAAAGAGCUGCGAACCCGCGAGGGUAAGCCAAUCUCAUAAAGCCAUUCUCAGUUCGGAUUGUAGG
rnacentral:rRNA from 1 species